rnacentral:tmRNA from 1 species
ACCCUUUUCCUUAAGCAAUUCCGUGCUAUAUAUAGACCGUCAGUUCGCUGACUAUGGCGAUAAACGCCUUGCGGAAUAAACGCUGCGGACCCGGGGGCGGUACCCGGCGCCUCCACCAUGAGAUGCAGGACUCCGGCAUCUGAUAUGGGGGCGAAACAGGAUCGACGCGCGUGGUAAAGGCAUGGUUUUUGCCCGGCAUGAUACCGCCGUUAUCGGGUCAUAUCUAUAAAUGCCAACGACAAUGUUGACAUGAGCCAGGUUGCGCUCGCUGCCUAAUCUCCGCAUAGCGGAAGUAAGGUAGUUUGCACCUAGCGCGGCUCGGGGGGCGCCGGGCAACAGAAGCCCCCCAAU